rnacentral:lncRNA from 1 species
CUUUCCCCAAGGGUUCCGCAUUAGCCUAACCAAGACUUUCUCUGAGACUCUUAGUUAUUAUGAUGCUACUUCCACCAGCACCAGGGUUCUUGUUGCUAUCUGGCUGUUGAGUGAUUCAGUCCCACUGAGCAAUGUCAACCUGAUUGUCUUUCUUUGUUUUUAAGAAACAGGGUCUUGCUCUGCUGCCCAGGCUGGAGCACAGUAGUGUGAUCAUAGCUCACUACAGCCUUCAACUCCUGGGCCUUAGCAAUCCUCCUGCCUCAGCCUCCCAAGGAGCUAUGGCUGCAGGUAUCCGCCACCACUCAUUGACAGCCACUUCCAGUACUCACUGUCUUGGACACAGACUUGAGUAAAAGUACAGGGGCAAGAGGCCUGGAUGAAGAAAUACCCUCAGAAACUCCCACUCUUCUGGUUCCUGCUGAAGACUCCAGUAAUAAAAGUUAUUCAUACCUACCUCCACCAUCUUGGCUGGGAAGUCAAGGAAGAAGAUAGCAGCCCGCAACCCGGAAGAGGGCCCUCACCAGAACCUACCAUGCUGGCACCCAGACCUCAGACUUCCAGCCUCCAGAAAUACACCAUCUGGCUCUGUCACCCAGGCUGGAGUGCAGUGGCCUGGUCACAGUUCACUGCAGCUUCGACUUCCCUGGCUCAAGUGAUCCUCCCUCCUCACCCUACAGGCAUGCACCACCGUGCCCAGGAGCUCCCUCUGCUGCAGGAACUCAACGAUAGGGAGGAAGAGUCCAGAAAAGUAGGGCUGUCAGCACCUCUGUGAGCAGCCGACGAUCCACAGCGGAUGGAGUUUGGUGGUAAAGGUACUCACUUCCUGUCUCUCUGGUGAUGAUUUUGAGCAUGUUCUACAAAGUCUUUCAGAUGGUCCCAGUAGGUUGGAGCCCAGCUGCCCUCAGUGGUAACCUGCCCAUUAACGUAUCCUGUGUUGGUUUCCUUUCCUCCCCUACCUCACCUCCCCACUCCCCUUUCUAUGAUUCCUAGAGUCACCUCCCAAAUAAACUUUCACAUUUACA